GGGUUGUGAGGUUAAGCGACUAAGCGUACACGGUGGAUGCCCUGGCAGUCAGAGGCGAUGAAGGACGUGCUAAUCUGCGAAAAGCGUCGGUAAGGUGAUAUGAACCGUUAUAGCCGGCGAUGUCCGAAUGGGGAAACCCAGUGCAAUUCGUUGCACUAUCGUUAACUGAAUACAUAGGUUAACGAGGCGAACCGGGGGAACUGAAACAUCUAAGUACCCCGAGGAAAAGAAAUCAACCGAGAUUCCCCCAGUAGCGGCGAGCGAACGGGGAGCAGCCCAGAGUCUGAAUCAGCUUGUGUGUUAGUGGAACGGUCUGGAAAGUCCGACGGUACAGGGUGAUAGUCCCGUACACCAAAAUGCACAGGUUGUGAACUCGAAGAGUAGGGCGGGACACGUGGUAUCCUGUCUGAAUAUGGGGGGACCAUCCUCCAAGGCUAAAUACUCCUGACUGACCGAUAGUGAACCAGUACCGUGAGGGAAAGGCGAAAAGAACCCCGGCGAGGGGAGUGAAAAAGAACCUGAAACCGUGUACGUACAAGCAGUGGGAGCACCUUUAUGGUGUGACUGCGUACCUUUUGUAUAAUGGGUCAGCGACUUAUAUUCUGUAGCAAGGUUAACCGUAUAGGGGAGCCGCAGGGAAACCGAGUCUUAACUGGGCGUUAAGUUGCAGGGUAUAGACCCGAAACCCGGUGAUCUAGCCAUGGGCAGGUUGAAGGUUGGGUAACACUAACUGGAGGACCGAACCGACUAAUGUUGAAAAAUUAGCGGAUGACUUGUGGCUGGGGGUGAAAGGCCAAUCAAACCGGGAGAUAGCUGGUUCUCCCCGAAAGCUAUUUAGGUAGCGCCUCGUGAAUUCAUCUUCGGGGGUAGAGCACUGUUUCGGCUAGGGGGUCAUCCCGACUUACCAACCCGAUGCAAACUACGAAUACCGAAGAAUGUUAUCACGGGAGACACACGGCGGGUGCUAACGUCCGUCGUGAAGAGGGAAACAACCCAGACCGCCAGCUAAGGUCCCAAAGUCAUGGUUAAGUGGGAAACGAUGUGGGAAGGCACAGACAGCCAGGAUGUUGGCUUAGAAGCAGCCAUCAUUUAAAGAAAGCGUAAUAGCUCACUGGUCGAGUCGGCCUGCGCGGAAGAUGUAACGGGGCUAAACCAUGCACCGAAGCUGCGGCAGCGACACUAUGUGUUGUUGGGUAGGGGAGCGUUCUGUAAGCCUGCGAAGGUGGCCUGUGAGGGCUGCUGGAGGUAUCAGAAGUGCGAAUGCUGACAUAAGUAACGAUAAAGCGGGUGAAAAGCCCGCUCGCCGGAAGACCAAGGGUUCCUGUCCAACGUUAAUCGGGGCAGGGUGAGUCGACCCCUAAGGCGAGGCCGAAAGGCGUAGUCGAUGGGAAACAGGUUAAUAUUCCUGUACUUGGUGUUACUGCGAAGGGGGGACGGAGAAGGCUAUGUUAGCCGGGCGACGGUUGUCCCGGUUUAAGCAUGUAGGCGGAGGUUCCAGGUAAAUCCGGUACCUUUUAACGCUGAGGUGUGAUGACGAGGCACUACGGUGCUGAAGUAACAAAUGCCCUGCUUCCAGGAAAAGCCUCUAAGCAUCAGGUAACAUUAAAUCGUACCCCAAACCGACACAGGUGGUCAGGUAGAGAAUACCAAGGCGCUUGAGAGAACUCGGGUGAAGGAACUAGGCAAAAUGGUGCCGUAACUUCGGGAGAAGGCACGCUGGUGUGUAGGUGAAGUCCCUGCGGAUGGAGCUGAGACCAGUCGAAGAUACCAGCUGGCUGCAACUGUUUAUUAAAAACACAGCACUGUGCAAACACGAAAGUGGACGUAUACGGUGUGACGCCUGCCCGGUGCCGGAAGGUUAAUUGAUGGGGUUAUCCGUAAGGAGAAGCUCUUGAUCGAAGCCCCGGUAAACGGCGGCCGUAACUAUAACGGUCCUAAGGUAGCGAAAUUCCUUGUCGGGUAAGUUCCGACCUGCACGAAUGGCGUAAUGAUGGCCAGGCUGUCUCCACCCGAGACUCAGUGAAAUUGAACUCGCUGUGAAGAUGCAGUGUACCCGCGGCAAGACGGAAAGACCCCGUGAACCUUUACUAUAGCUUGACACUGAACAUUGAGCCUUGAUGUGUAGGAUAGGUGGGAGGCUUUGAAGCGUGGACGCCAGUCUGCGUGGAGCCAACCUUGAAAUACCACCCUUUAAUGUUUGAUGUUCUAACGU
rnacentral:rRNA from 1 species